UAGAUAACUGAGCGUGCCUGGGGCCUCUCUU
rnacentral:piRNA from 1 species